GCCAACGAGUUCAUUCGUAUUUUGUACAGACAACAGAGUCCUACAGAAAAGAAAUGGUAUACUUGACAGCAACACAAAUUUUCAAUCAAUGCAGAAUGGACUUUGAAUCCAUCAAGCACUAAAAAAGAAAGCAGCAAAUACAAAAGAAAAUGACGAGACCAGACCAUACACGAUCUUGAGAAUACAAGGAAGGAAUGCCAACAACUCAUGUUUGUUUGUUACUACUUCAUCAACUUCAGUAUUGUUAACAACCACCACCAGUCUUUAUCUUGCAUAUAGCCAUCCCCCUGUUGGAACUGAAUAUCAUAGUAUAACGCAGAGGCACUUAUUCUGCUUCAUGUCAUCUGACGCUUUUUUCUCUUUCUCCUGAGCUGGUGGUUGAACAACCACAUGCAUGGUCGUGACUCCUCCUGGAAUAUCACAUAGCGGGCUUCUGCAUUCAGCCACUGUUCUGUUGUUUUCCAAUAUUCUUCCAGCGCUGAUUAACUUAACAUCUUUUACUGUCCGCGGACCAUUAUCCUUCUCUCUGGGCCACUGAGCAAGGAUGUUCUCCUUUAAGGUUGCUACGCUUGUAGCCGCAGAAAAACUCUUGGGCCCAAUAUCUGUUCCAUCAAUCAAUCUAAACUUAAUCUCCAGUUGAUCUUGAGCUGCAGACAUCCUUGUUCUAACUUACAAAACAAACCCAACACAAGGAUCUUUUACUAGGAUCUUCCUGUAACCUGUUCAGCCUUAAUUAACACAAUCACUGAAGCUCCCAAGACCAAAGAAUUUAGUCUUUGGUUCUUGACACUUUAUGGAUCUCAUCAAAUUCCCAAAUCCCAGCCUUAAAUUGUUAAGAGAAACUGAUCUGGAAACUGUCCACUUUUUACCGAACAAAGUAAUUUCAUAUGAUAUUCCUCAAGACAGAUAGA
rnacentral:misc_RNA from 1 species